UACGUAGGGUGCGAGCGUUAAUCGGAAUUACUGGGCGUAAAGCGUGCGCAGGCGGUUUUGUAAGCCAGAUGUGAAAGCCCCGGGCUUAACCUGGGAAUGGCAUUUGGGACUGCAAGGCUGGAGUGUGGCAGAGGAGACUGGAAUUCCUGGUGUAGCAGUGAAAUGCGUAGAUAUCAGGAGGAAUACCGAUGGCGAAGGCAGGUCUCUGGGCCACUACUGACGCUGAGAAGCGAAAGCAUGGGGAGCGAACAGG
rnacentral:rRNA from 1 species